AUGUUGAUACACCUAGUCCUUCUAAGAAGAAGAAAAAGAAAAAUGAUAGGACUUUGCAUGCUUCUAGUGAACCUGUUGUUGACACACCUGAGAAUCCCAAUGAUAUUUCUAUUUCUGAUGCUGAAACACAAUCUGGUAAUGAACAUGAACCUAGUGAUAAUGUUAAUGAUGAUGUAUAUUGAUGCUCAACCUAGCAAUAACAAUGAUGUAGAGAUUGAACCUGUUGUUGAUCUUGAUAACCCACAAUCAAAGAAUCAACGUUAUGAUAAGAGAGACUUCGUUGCUAGGAAGCACGGUAAAGAAAGAGAACCAUGGGUUCAGAAACCCAUGCCCUUUCCUCCUAAACCAUCCAAGAAAAAGGAUGAUGAGGAUUUUGAGCGCUUUGCUGAAAUGAUUAGACAUAUCUUUUUGCGUAUGCGUUUGACUGAUAUGCUUAAAAUGAAUCCUUAUGCUAAGUAUAUGAAGGAUAUUGUCACAAAUAAAAGAAAGAUACCGGAAGCUGAAAUUUCCACCAUGCUUGCUAAUUAUACUUUUAAAGGUGGAAUACCAAAGAAACUAGAAGAUCCCGGAGUACCAACUAUACCAUGCUCCAUUAAGAGAAACUAUGUUAAAACUGCUUUAUGUGAUCUUGGAGCCGGUGUUAGUGUUAUGCCUCUCUCUUUAUAUCGUAGACUUGAUUUGAAUAAGUUGACACCUACUGAAAUAUCUUUGAAAAUGGCCGAUAAAUGA
rnacentral:rRNA from 1 species